GAUGAACGCUAGCGGCAGGCCUAAUACAUGCAAGCCAAGGGCUGUUUGGUGUAGCAAUACAUCAUACAACCGGCGGACGGGUGCGUAACGCGUAUGCAACCUACUCUAUACAGGAGGAUAGUCCCCGGAAACGAGGAUUAAUAAUCCAUAAGAUUGCUUAGAGGCAUCUUUAAGCAAUUAAAGACGCAAGGCGGUAUAGGCUGGGGGUGCGUCCGAUUGGCUAGUUGGUGAGGUAUCGGCUCACCAAGGCCAUGAUCGGCAGGGGUUAUGAGAGGAAGCUCCCCCGCACGUGCACUGAGACACGGGCCCGAAUGCUAGGGGAGGCAGCAGUAGCUAAUAUUGGACGAUGGGUGAAAGCCUGAUCCAGCCGUGCCAGGUGCAGGAAGAAGGCCCUAUGGGUUGUAAGCUGCUUGUGAGAGAGAGAAAUGAGGGCGAUUAGGCGCGCGAUGAGGGUACUUCUCGAGUAAGCAACGGCUAACUUCGUG
rnacentral:rRNA from 1 species